GGUUAGACGAAAAAUCUAAAUAGAAUAAAAAUAAAAUUAAUUAACAGUGUGAUAUAAGAGAGUAAACUUCCUUCUUUUAUUAGGUGAAAUUUGUAUAAAGAAGUAAACUUUCUUGUUUAUAUCUGGGGGAAUUAUAAAGUAGAGACUAAAAACCAGGAUUAGAUACCCUGUUAUUCUUUAGGAUAUUUAAUAGGGUAGUAAAAGUUGUUCUUCAAACCCAAAGAUUUUGGCGGCAUUCUAACCAAAUAGAGGAGCUUGUCUUAUAAUCGAUAGUCCCCGUUGUAUCUUACCUUUACUGGUUAAGUUUGUAUACCUCCGUUGUCAGAUUACUCCAAAAGGAUGUUUUCAAUAAAAAUUGUUUUUUUACUUCAGGUCAAGGUGCAAUUUAUGUAAAGGCAACGAUGAGCUACAAUUCUUUAGAGAAUUACGGACGCUUAAGUUAAAACUUAGCUGAAGGUGGAUUUAUUAGUAAGCUAACUUAAGGAAAGUUAGCUGAAUGAGGCAAUAGCAUGUGCACAUAUCGCCCGUCACUCUCCUCUUAAAAGGAGAUAAGUCGUAACAAA
rnacentral:rRNA from 1 species